AUUGAACGCUGGCGGCAGGCCUAACACAUGCAAGUCGAGCGGAUGAAGGGAGCUUGCUCCUGGAUUCAGCGGCGGACGGGUGAGUAAUGCCUAGGAAUCUGCCUGGUAGUGGGGGAUAACGUCCGGAAACGGGCGCUAAUACCGCAUACGUCCUGAGGGAGAAAGUGGGGGAUCUUCGGACCUCACGCUAUCAGAUGAGCCUAGGUCGGACUAGCUAGUUGGUGGGGUAAAGGCCUACCAAGGCGACGAUCCGUAACUGGUCUGAGAGGAUGAUCAGUCACACUGGAACUGAGACACGGUCCAGACUCCUACGGGAGGCAGCAGUCGGGAAUAUUGGACAAUGGGCGAAAGCCUGAUCCAGCCAUGCCGCGUGUGUGAAGAAGGUCUUCGGAUUGUAAAGCACUUUAAGUUGGGAGGAAGGGCAGUAAGUUAAUACCUUGCUGUUUUGACGGUACCAACAGAAUAAGCACCGGCUAACUUCGUG
rnacentral:rRNA from 1 species